UGAUCCUUUGAGUGUUCUCCAUUUCGAGACCAAGAAUGCAAUUAUCUGAAUAAAGGAAUAAUUAUAAUUACAUGUGAUCAUUAGUAUUCGUCAACGUCAGAGUUGUGUUCAACUUCGAUUUACAGGCUAUGCAACGUCAAAGAUGCUGGAGGAGCCAAAAGCCAACAAACCUGCAUUUUCUAACCAACGUUGCAUCCACAUCCAAAUAAAACUAACACGUAGCUUCACUGUUGCUUGGGUCUAUUGUCCAGCCCCAACAAUCGCAAACGUCUGGAGACUGUAGCCUCUGAUCCUUUGAGUGUUCUCCAUUUCGAGACCAAGAAUGCAAUUAUCUGAAUAAAGGAAUAAUUAUAAUUACAUGUGAUCAUUAGUAUUCGUCAACGUCAGAGUUGUGUUCAACUUCGAUUUACAGGCUAUGCAACGUCAAAGAUGCUGGAGGAGCCAAAAGCCAACAAACCUGCAUUUUCCAACCAACGUUGCAUCCACAUCCAAAUAAAACUGACACGUAGCUUCACUGUUGCUUGGGUCUAUUGUCCAGCCCCAACAAUCGCAAACGUCUGGAGACUGUAGCCUCUGAUCCUUUGAGUGUUCUCCAUUUCGAGACCAAGAAUGCAAUUAUCUGAAUAAAGGAAUAAUUAUAAUUACAUGUGAUCAUUAGUAUUCGUCAACGUCAGAGUUGUGUUCAACUUCGAUUUACAGGCUAUGCAACGUCAAAGAUGCUGGAGGAGCCAAAAGCCAACAAACCUGCAUUUUCCAACCAACGUUGCAUCCACAUCCAAAUAAAACUGACACGUAGCUUCACUGUUGCUUGGGUCUAUUGUCCAGCCCCAACAAUCGCAAACGUCUGGAGACUGUAGCCUCUGAUCCUUUGAGUGUUCUCCAUUUCGAGACCAAGAAUGCAAUUAUCUGAAUAAAGGAAUAAUUAUAAUUACAUGUGAUCAUUAGUAUUCGUCAACGUCAGAGUUGUGUUCAACUUCGAUUUACAGGCUAUGCAACGUCAAAGAUGCUGGAGGAGCCAAAAGCCAACAAACCUGCAUUUUCCAACCAACGUUGCAUCCACAUCCAAAUAAAACUGACACGUAGCUUCACUGUUGCUUGGGUCUAUUGUCCAGCCCCAACAAUCGCAAAUGUCUGGAGACUGUAGCCUCUGAUCCUUUGAGUGUUCUCCAUUUCGAGACCAAGAAUGCAAUUAUCUGAAUAAAGGAAUAAUUAUAAUUACAUGUGAUCAUUAGUAUUCGUCAACGUCAGAGUUGUGUUCAACUUCGAUUUACAGGCUAUGCAACGUCAAAGGUAUGUCACGAGUUUUUAAUUAGUGAGUUUUUAGCAAUUGUAUUAAUAGCAAUACGUUGUUUCACUGAACUAAUAAAACUAGAAGGUAUUCUAAUUG